AGAGAUGUGUGAUGACGCAUAUCAAUAAGCGGAGGAAAAGAAACUAACAAGGAUUCCCUUAGUAACGGCGAGUGAAGCGGGAAGAGCUCAAAUUUGAAAUCUUCAAGGUUCUACCUUGACGAAUUGUAGUUUAAUAGAAGUGUUUUCUGUUAGAGAGUUUGGUAAAAGUUCUUUGGAAUAGGACAUCAUAGAGGGUGAGAAUCCCGUAUCUGAUCACUUAUCUACUAGCUUUGUGAUACACUUUCAGAGAGUCGGAUUGUUUGGGAAUGCAGUCCAAAAUGGGUGGUAGAUUUCAUCUAAAGCUAAAUAUUGGCGAGAGACCGAUAGCGAACAAGUACCGUGAGGGAAAGAUGAAAAGAACUUUGAAAAGAGAGUUAAACAGUACGUGAAAUUGUCAAAAGGGAAGCGUUUGACACCAGUGUUGUUUUCUCGAAAAUCAAUUAAAAAUGGCAGGAUUUUGUGUUGUAUUGACUUUAUCAGCUUUCUGCACUUUUUUCUUGUCUUUUUUAAUGCACUUUUCGUUUAACAAGUCAACAUCAAUUUCUUUUGCUGUAAAAGGGUCAUUGGAAGGUGGCUUUCUUUUCGGAGAAGGUGUUUAUAGCCUUUGGCCUCUGCAGUCGGAGAGAUUGAGGUCUGCAGCGUAGAUCCUUCCGGGUUAGAUACAUUUGUGCUAAGUUAUAGCCUUUCAUAGACAACUUGUUGACUAUGAUCAGUCAUGUAGCUUACUCGCUUAUGCUAUUUUACCUACGCUUAGGAUGUUGAGUAGCGACAUACGCAC
rnacentral:rRNA from 1 species